UACGGGGGGGGCAAGCGUUGUUCGGAAUUACUGGGCGUAAAGGGCUCGUAGGCGGCCAACUAAGUCGGAUGUGAAAUCCCCAGGCUUAACCUGGGAACUGCAUCCGAUACUGGAUGGCUUGAAUCCGGGAGAGGGAUGCAGAAUUCCAGGUGUAGCGGUGAAAUGCGUAGAUAUGCGGAGGAACACCGGUGGCGAAGGCGGGUCUCUGGGCCGAUACUGACGCUGAGGAGCGAAAGCGUGGGGAGCGAACAGG
rnacentral:rRNA from 1 species